rnacentral:rRNA from 1 species
GGCAGUCUGGUGCCAGCAGCCGCGGUAAUUCCAGCUCCAAUAGCGUAUAUUAAAGUUGUUGCAGUUAAAAAGCUCGUAGUCGAAUUUCGGGAUCAAUAUUUCGGUCAUGCCGUUGGUAUGCACUGUUAUCAUUGAUUUCUCACCUUCUAAAGAACCAUAAUGCCAUUAAUUUGGUGUUACGGGGAAUUAGGACUGUUACCUUGAAAAAAUUAGAGUGUUUAAAGCAGGCUCACGCUUGAAUACAUUAGCAUGGAAUAAUGAAAUAGGACAUCCGAUUCUAUUUUGUUGGUUUCUAGGAUCGAUGUAAUGAUUAAUAGGGAUAGUUGGGGGCAUUAGUAUUCAAUCGUCAGAGGUGAAAUUCUUGGAUUUAUUGAAGACUAACUACUGCGAAAGCAUUUGCCAAGGAUGUUUUCAUUAAUCAAGAACGAAAGUUAGGGGAUCGAAGACGAUCAGAUACCGUCGUAGUCUUAACCAUAAACUAUGCCGACUAGGGAUCGGAUGAUGUUAAUUUUUUAAUGACUCAUUCGGCGCCUUACGGGAAAC